AACGCGAAGAACCUUACCUGGGCUCGAAAUGUAGUCGACCGUCUCAGAGAUGAGGCCUUCCCGCAAGGGACGGCUGCAUAGGUGCUGCAUGGCUGUCGUCAGCUCGUGUCGUGAGAUGUUGGGUUAAGUCCCGCAACGAGCGCAACCCUCACCGUUAGUUGCUCACCCGCAAGGGAAGCACCCUAACGGAACUGCCUCAGAUAAUGGGGAGGAAGGUGGGGAUGACGUCAAGUCCUCAUGGCCUUUAUGUCCAGGGCUACACACGUGCUACAAUGGCCGGUACAAAGCGUCGCGAACCCGCGAGGGGGAGCCAAUCGCAAAAAGCCGGUCUCAGUUCGGAUUGCAGGCUGCAACUCGCCUGCAUGAAGCUGGAAUCGCUAGUAAUCGCGUAUCAGAACGACGCGGUGAAUACGUUCCCGGGUCUUGUACACACCG
rnacentral:rRNA from 1 species